UACGUAGGUGGCAAGCGUUGUCCGGAUUUACUGGGCGUAAAGGAUGCGUAGGCGGACAUUUAAGUCAGAUGUGAAAUACCCGAGCUUAACUUGGGUGCUGCAUUUGAAACUGGGUGUCUAGAGUGCAGGAGAGGUAAGUGGAAUUCCUAGUGUAGCGGUGAAAUGCGUAGAGAUUAGGAAGAACACCAGUGGCGGAAGGCGACUUACUGGACUGUAACUGACGCUGAGGCAUGAAAGCGUGGGGGAGCAAACAGG
rnacentral:rRNA from 1 species